rnacentral:rRNA from 1 species
AGAUUGAACGCUGGCGGCAGGCCUAACACAUGCAAGUCGAGCGGCAGCACGGGUACUUGUACCUGGUGGCGAGCGGCGGACGGGUGAGUAAUGCCUAGGAAUCUGCCUGGUAGUGGGGGAUAACGCUCGGAAACGGACGCUAAUACCGCAUACGUCCUACGGGAGAAAGCAGGGGACCUUCGGGCCUUGCGCUAUCAGAUGAGCCUAGGUCGGAUUAGCUAGUUGGUGAGGUAAUGGCUCACCAAGGCGACGAUCCGUAACUGGUCUGAGAGGAUGAUCAGUCACACUGGAACUGAGACACGGUCCAGACCUCCGUA